UGCUGAGUUGCCAUCGUCACUCUGGACCCAUAGCUACUCCAUCCCGAGUAGCCAUGGGCUUACCAUAGAAGGAACAAACUCUUAAUCUUAGAACUGCUUUAGGCAGUGGGCGUGAUGGUUAAAAACUCGGCCUUUGGCGUCGACCUCAGACGGAGAUCUACCAAUUAGGAAAUUAGCUGUGAUUUAGAAAAUUUAAUAUUUCGAUGCCAUACUUUCCUAAUCUGCAAAAUUUUUGUAAAUACCUGUGACCUAGUGUCGUGAGCGCUUAGCAACACCUGACACCCACUAAGCUCUCAGCCAGUGGUUCUGAAAGUGGUUCUAGACCAGCAACAACAGCAGUAGCAGCAGCACCUGUGAACUUGUUAGAAAUGCAAAGUUUCAGGCCCAUUCCAGUUCUACUGAAUCUGAAACUCGAAGGGAACAGCAACCUAUGUUUUAAUAAACCCCAAGGACCUGGGACCUGUACUGUCUGCGGUUACCUUAGUAUUCCCCUUGAAGACUUAAAAAACAACAAAGUUUGGGCUGCAAGAAUGAUCUAUAUCUGGUCAUUUCCCCCUAGGAAAACAUCGUAGGUCAAAAAAUUAAGCAUUUGGGUUUAAAGCAAAAAUGUAAAAGAAAAAGGGUAAGUCUGUGAUAUGAAGUCAAAAAAACUGGUCCUGGUCAUUUUAUUUUUACACAAUAUCAGUUUCUUCAUAUGUAAAUUAGGAAUACUUGUCCCAUCUUUACCAAAUGCUGUUCUGAUAAUCAAGUGAAAAGUACUUUCAAGUAGUCAAAAACAUGAAAAUUGCUACACAAAUCCUGUGUUAUAGCUGAUUUUCACCAUAGAAGCUGAUCACCUUCUUAAAAAUUUAGAAUUACCAGCUGUUGUGCUGGAAGGUCUAGUACCUUUUCGUUCAGGCCCAAAACCCUAAGGUUUAUAUUGUUUUACAGAUUACUGCAAAGCUAUCAAUUUCUUCUGAACCUAAGAAAUGACACACUAUAU
rnacentral:lncRNA from 10 species